rnacentral:lncRNA from 12 species
UGGAGACUUGGUCUCCCUGCAGGUGGCAGAGAUUCAGGAGCACAUGGCAUCUGUGCAAAUCCCAUAUCAGACACACACACUCAAAUCACAGCGAGAGAGGUGAGCUGGUUACUCCUGUCCAGCCUCUUGCACUUCAGGGGGCAGAGGACCUGCUGAAUACAACACGCAGAACACCUUGAAUUGUCCUCAUCAUCCCUCCUACAGAAAAACUGGUAAGAGUGUGAUGACUUGGUAAGCUUCUGGAGAAGACUUUCAUGGUGAUAAGGACUGUCCCUAAAGCAAAAGGAAGCUGGGAGAUCUUGGCUCUCCAGUUGCAGCUAUAAAGAAGAGAACUUUGAUCCUUCUCCUUGGCUGGACUGCAGAACAACAUUGCACCAUCAUUUCUGAUGGUUCAUGAACUCUGUGGGGAACAUGCUGGAUUUCACUCUUCUCCCCAUCUCAUCAGCUGGAUCAGCAAUUGAGUUUGCACGUUUGUUCUGCAGAGCACACCUUCUCAUCCUGACUGUGGCAGCCCUGAGCUCUGGUGCCUGUUGCACAGUGCAUUUCUGCCUGCCUGAAGCAUGUACACAACCCCCAGGCAAAGGGGCUGAAGAGAAAACCAUAAGAUCCAAGGAAUCAUGAGGAUGGAUGUUUAACCUUAGGGGUUAAUACAGUUAUCUGGCACAGGUCUCUCUUUAGUUCUUUCAUUUAUACUGCAUUAAGGGUGUAAUGCAAUUUGAAAUAGCACCUCUGUACCUUUGACAAGCACAAUGAGCCAUG